rnacentral:rRNA from 1 species
CACGUAGGGCGCAAGCGUUGUCCGGAAUUAUUGGGCGUAAAGAGCUCGUAGGCGGUCUGUUACGUCUGCUGUGAAAACCCUGGGCUUAACCCUGGGCUUGCAGUGGAUACGGGCAGACUAGAGGCAGGUAGGGGAGAAUGGAAUUCCCGGUGUAGCGGUGAAAUGCGCAGAUAUCGGGAAGAACACCCGUGGCGAAGGCGGCUCUCUGGGACGGUACUGACGCUGAGACGCGAAAGCGUGGGGAGCGAACAGG